UUUAUAAUAUAAGUGUUCUAAUAAAUUAUUUUAUAUAAAAAUAUUUGGAAUUAAAUAAAAAAAAUUUUUACAAAACAGGGAUAGACGCCUGUUAUGAUAUCAAAAAUUAGGGUAGUGUAAUAAACCGAAAAUAGAUGGCAGUAAAAUAUUCGUAUUAAGGAAUUUUAAAAAAUAAAUUGAUAGUCCUCAAUUUUAUUUACUUUAAAAAAUUUUUUGUGUGGCUGUUUAAUAACAAUUUAAAAAUUUUAGUUUAAAUCAGGUUGUAUAUUAUUAAUAUUUAAAGGUAUUUUUGAAAUGUAUUUAAAUUUUUAAUUUUAUUUUAAAAAAUAUAAUACUUAAUAGUAAUAAAUAAGUAAAUAAAUUCGUUCUAUUUUAAGUUCAUAUC
rnacentral:rRNA from 1 species